UGGCAGUCUUGGCAUACGGGUUGAGCUUGAGAAGUGCACCCAAGUUCUUCAAUGGGUUCUUCUUCAGUGCACGUCUCUUCAGAUCCACCUUGGCCGGACGGACGAUGCUCUGGAUCUCAUCAGAGUUGAUGAUUCUCGACAAGUCAGGGUUGCCCAUGAUGUUGCGGGGGAGGAUGUAAUUCUUCUUCACAAGAGACUUCUUUUCCUGGGUGCCGAAAACUGAGUCGAGCUUCUCAAAGGCAGACUUGGUCCAGAUAAUAAAUCGGCCAAGGUGACCACCUACGCCAAUUAACAGAGAGUUACUAAAGGAUCUAAAGCAAUUCCGAAACCCUAAAAAUUGAUCUGAUUGCAUAUAGGUAUCUCGACUAUCACAGACAACCUCCAAAUAGUACCAACCAUGUAGGAUUUCAUAUGUAACAGUACCACAUUGGCUUCUGGUAUAAUUGAAUUAGGUUGCUAACAUCGGUGACAUCGAAUGACCUUUUGAGUAUCAGGUCAAACGGUACAAAAAAAACCCCUAAACCCUGAAACCCACAUUCUCGUUAACAUAGAUAACUGCAUUUAGGACACCAGAAUGAAGUCCUCCAUACCUGGGGCGAGCUGAAGAAGGUUCAAACGAUCCACAGAAACGAUUUCGACACCGGGGAUGUUCCUGAAGGCUUUCACGAGCUUGGCACCCUCGGUACCAUA
rnacentral:lncRNA from 1 species